rnacentral:lncRNA from 1 species
CGGCUUCUAUAGCAAAGUCAGUUUUAUUUCCUCCUUUUCGGAAGAAAACAAUUAAAAGAAUUGCUUAACCAAAUUAAAAAAAAAAAGACUAAAUACUGGAGUUCCUUACAUAUCUUUUUUAACAAUCUUUUAUUUCUUGGUCACGUGCACGGCACACCGAAGUAGGCGUCAGCAUUUUUCCUAUCUUAUUUCCUCGUAAUAGUGACGAGUACUAGAAUCCCAAUACAAAAGGCGGUCCAUUUCGUAAGUGCCUGGUUUUUCCCUGCAAAUGGAUUUUCCUAUAAAAUGGAGUAGUGGACAAAAAGAUUAUGUCUUUUGGGAAGAAACUAUUUUUUCUUCUUCUCCGAAAGUGCUUCUAUUUCUAUUCAAAAGUAUUUUUUUUUUUUAAAAGUUUGGUCAAACAUAUUAACUUUGAAAAAAAAAUGGACUUAAUCUUGGAGAUGCUUAGCCAAACAGGCUAUUAGUUCUAUCUCUCAAAUUUGAAAGUAAUUUUGUAUCUAAUUGUGAAGGAAUAAUAUUUUAAAUUACAGUAUUGAUUAAUUGUUUUACUUUUAGAGAGGAAAAUGUGUAGUUUGAUACUAAUAGUUUUUAAAAAAUUAUAAUUUUUUAAUUAUUUGAAUGUUAAGUAGGAUUGAUUUGUAUCUCACAUUAACUUUAAGACUAUUGCAUUAUUAAUAUAUGUAAAAAGGCUAGAAACUUUAUUUUCUAUAAGUUUCUUUAAUCCUUUUCAAUUUUAUUAAUUUUAAUGUACUUUAUAUAUUUUUUGUGUUAUUAUGCUAUUUUAUUAAUUUAUAAAUUAGAAAAUUUAAAGAUUCAUGGGGCAUGUACCUCGGGCUUUCGCCUCGCUCCAUAUUAAGUAAAACGCUCCGCCUCACGCCCCUGCCCUUUAAAACACUGUUUAGAAUAUGAAACUAUACUGGAAACCAGUCAAUUCUUCUUCCAUUCUUUUUUCUUCCUUUCUUUAGGGUAACAAAAUACAAUCGGAAAAAAAAAAGAGAAAAGAGAAAAAUGUAUAUAUCUUCUGCAAGUCAAAACUACUGAAAAUGAAGAAAUAAGAGAAGUUGAAAAGGUAUUUAUCAAAACAUGCAUACCUUGAGAAUUUGAAGAAGUUUCUCUUCGUCUUUUAGUUCCAUGUUGAUUUUGUUCGAGUAAUUUUCUUCUUCUUUUUGUAGUCUCCCUUUCUUCUUGAGUGGCUUCUAAUCCUACAUGCUCAUCUUCCAUAUCUUUAAUCAGUUUUUUGAAAUACCCAAGAAUUUCAGAGGAGAGUAUUUAGUGGAGGCCUUUCAGAUACUUGGCUCUUUUA